rnacentral:rRNA from 1 species
AGAGUUUGAUCCUGGCUCAGGGUGAACGCUAGUAGUAUGCUUAACACAUGCGAGUCGAACGAAAUUAAUAAUUUCGUGGCGUACGGGUGAGUAAUACACAGGAAUCUGCUUUUUAGUUCAGAAUAAAAUUCUGGAUACAAUAAAGAAAACUAUUUCGCUAAAAGAUGAGCCUGUGGAGGAUUAGGUAGUUGGUGUUGGGUAAAAGCCUACCAAGCCUAUGAUCCUUAGCUGUUCUGAGAGGUUGUACAGCCACACUGGGACUGAGACAAGGCCCAGGCUCCAUUCGGAGCCAGCAGUGAGGAAUUUUGGACAAUGAGCGAAAGCUUGAUCCAGCAAUACUACAUGAGUGAUGAAGGCUUUCAAGUUGUAAAACUCUUUGGUUGAGGAGGAUAAUGACAGUACUCAACAAAAUAGCCCCGGCUAACUUCGUGCCAGCAGCCGCGGUAAGACGAAGGGGGCGAGCGUUAUCCGGAAUGACUGGGCGUAAAGGGUCCGUAGGUUGUAUUUUUUGUUAAAGGUGAAAAAUUAAAGCUUAACUUUUUUUAAGCCUUUAAAACGUUUAGACUUUGAGUUUGAAAGAGGAUAGCAGAAUUUCACAUGGAGGGGUGAUAUCCUUAGAUAUGUGAAGGAAUACCAGAGGCGAAGGCGGCUAUCUAGUUCAAUACUGACAUUGAGGGACGAAAGCGUGGGUAGCAAACAGGAUUAGAUACCCUGGUAGUCC